GAUGAACGCUGGCGGCGUGCCUAAUACAUGCAAGUCGAGCGAACGGACGAGAAGCUUGCUUCUCUGAUGUUAGCGGCGGACGGGUGAGUAACACGUGGAUAACCUACCUAUAAGACUGGGAUAACUUCGGGAAACCGGAGCUAAUACCAGAUCAUAUUUUGAACCGCAUGGUUCAAAAGUGAAAGACGGUCUUGCUGUCACUUAUAGAUGGAUCCGCGCUGCAUUAGCUAGUUGGUAAGGUAACGGCUUACCAAGGCAACGAUGCAUAGCCGACCUGAGAGGGUGAUCGGCCACACUGGAACUGAGACACGGUCCAGACUCCUACGGGAGGCAGCAGUAGGGAAUCUUCCGCAAUGGGCGAAAGCCUGACGGAGCAACGCCGCGUGAGUGAUGAAGGUCUUCGGAUCGUAAAACUCUGUUAUUAGGGAAGAACAUAUGUGUAAGUAACUGUGCACAUCUUGACGGUACCUAAUCAGAAAGCCACGGCUAACUACGUG
rnacentral:rRNA from 1 species